CUCUAGUGGCGGACGGGUGAGUAACACGUGAGAAUUUACCUUUAGGAGGGGGAUAACAAUUGGAAACGAAUGCUAAUACCCCAUAUGCUUUUGAGUGAAAUGGAUUUAUAAUUAUCUGCCUAAAGAAAAGCUCGCGGCUGAUUAGCUUGUUGGUAAGGUAAGAGCUUACCAAGGCGACGAUCAGUAUCUGGUUUGAGAGGACGAUCAGACACACUGGAACUGAGACACGGUCCAGACUCCUACGGGAGGCAGCAGUGGGGAAUUUUCCGCAAUGGGCGAAAGCCUGACGGAGCAAUACCGCGUGAGGGAAGACUGCCUAUGGGUUGUAAACCUCUUUUUUCAGGGAGGAAUAAAAUGACGUGUACCUGAAGAAUAAGCAUCGGCUAACUCCGUGCCAGCAGCCGCGGUAAGACGGAGGAUGCAAGUGUUAUCCGGAAUCACUGGGCGUAAAGCGUCUGUAGGUGGUCUAAUAAGUCAACUGUUAAAUCUU
rnacentral:rRNA from 1 species